UUAUUAAAUUUUGGCUCCAACACUGGCGCCCAAACUCACAUUUUUAAAUUAAAAAAAAAAAGACAAUUUUGGAGCCAAUUUGUUAACACUUCUGCCUAUAAAUAUCAGAUCAUUUCAGAAAACAUUUUGACAAUGCAAAUUCUAUAUCUCUCUAUUUUUGGUUCUUCUAUUUCUUUUUUAUAUUUUUUUGUUUUUAUAUUUAUACAUUUAUUUGUUUAGUUUUUGGCUAAUUACCAUUAGUCACAAUUACAAUAGAGGUAGCUUAUCACAACAAUUAUUUCUACUUUAUGCAGGCUGCAAUUUUUUAUUUUUCUGCGCAGAUGAAGAUCUGAAUUUAUCGAUGGAGCUUGAAAGUGUUAUCUCUUGGAUCUGCAAAAUCUGCAAAAGCAACAAAAAAAAUGAUUUUAGUAUAUAUUAAUGAUUUAAAGGAAAAUAGACUAUGGUAUAUGUACACUUUUGCUCUAUACCCACAAAUGAAUUUGUUUUAUUUCUGUUCUUUUUCUGCUAAAACAAUUUUUUCAUCAAAUUUUCAAAAGGAGAAGAAAUAGGGAAUAAAGUGGUGUCAACAGCUGUAAACAUUUUCCUCCCAUCAGAUUCACUGCGUUUUUUUUUUUUGCCAAAACUGAGAAUCUGUAGAAAUUCCUUUAAAUCAAACAUGCAAAUAAAGAAAGAAAAAAAAAGUGCAAAUAUUAAAGAACAAAAAAUUAUGCAAAAAAAUUAAAGAUGUUCAUAGAUAUGCAAAACUAAUAUGCGAAGGUAAACAGCAGAGGGAUUCGCGAAUACAGUGAGCAGAGAAGAAGGAAGAAGAUGAGGAACAGAGCUUCAACAACGGAGCCACAAAAACAGCAGCAAAAUCAAAACUUGCCGACACAAAAUCGCCUUCUCCAGACCUUAACUCUCUUCUUCUUUCUCCCAAAAAAUAACUCCCAAAAUUCUUCUCUCGAAUCUUUUUCAAAUGAUAUUCAUAGAUCUACAAAAAUGAUAAUGUAAAAACAAAAAAAAUAUAAGAAAUUAAAAAUUAAAAAAACUAAUAAACGAAAAAAUAGAUCUUAAUCAGUAUAAAAAUAAGGGGGUGGAAAUUUGACAUUGAGCAAGAAAUUUUAAACAUGGAGAAAAUUAAAAAACUAAAAAUUAAAAAUGAAAAUCUAAUAAACGAAAAAAAAGUAGAUCUUAUUCAGUAUAGAAAAACUAAUCUGCAAGAAAAGGUUUCAAAAUUUCAUAUGGAGAAUGCUAGAAUUAAAGAUGCAGACGAGAGGAGGCCGAGAUCUGGAGGCUAGGGCUUGGGCGACGCCGUAGCUUGAAACCCGGAUGGCGGCGGCUGGAUACGAGCUGUGCAGAGGGAGGCAGCGGCGCAUUUAUCGUCGUCGAGGUGGGAACGUCGGUGAGUGAUUGAGAGGCAGACAAUCGGCGGCCGUGGCUUGUGGAGAAGACUUAAAUUGUAAAAUAUGUGUUCGAAGGAUUGGAUCUGGAAGUGAGAGCGGCGGAUCUAUAAUGAGAUUAGGAUUGAAUUUUGGGAGAAGUGGAGAACACUCUAGAAUUCUAAGGCAGCGGCUGAAACCCUAAAAAUCAAUGCUUCUCUCUCUCUCUGUGUAUUUAUAAUUUUAUAUUAUGCUUUGUUUAUUGAAGUACUAAUAAAUACUAGGCUCUCGAGUUCAUCAAGUGGUUGGGGCUCUUUCUCUCAAAAAAAUAAAGUGGUUGGGGCUCUCGAAUUAUUUUUUUUUUUGUUGAAAGGGGGGCUCUCGAAAAUUAGUGGAGUAGUUUUUAUAUUGAAUGCUGUAUAUCUGCCAUAUAUUAAAAUGUUAAUAAAGUAGUAUAAUAUAUUUAGUUGGGC
rnacentral:lncRNA from 1 species